UACAGAGGGGGCAAGCGUUGUUCGGAAUUACUGGGCGUAAAGGGCGCGUAGGCGGCCUUCUAAGUCGAACGUGAAAUCCCCGGGCUCAACCUGGGAACUGCAUCCAAAACUGGCAAGCUAGAGUAUGGUAGAGGGUGGUGGAAUUUCCUGUGUAGCGGUGAAAUGCGUAGAUAUAGGAAGGAACACCAGUGGCGAAGGCGACCACCUGGACUGAUACUGACACUGAGGUGCGAAAGCGUGGGGAGCAAACAGG
rnacentral:rRNA from 1 species